AUCAAAAUCAACAAACAAAGGAAUCAUGGCUGGUAAAGACGCUAAAUUUGGAGUUAAUGCAAAAUCCAAUCUAAGUGCGCUUGGAUUUCCGCCUAAGAUAAUUGACAUCAUAAACCAAUACGGAAUAGAUGAAACCGAUGUACCAGCUGUGGUGACUUUUCUGUCGCAUUUGAAAAUCGCCACAGUAACAGAGGACGAUCAUCAGCUGUCGAUUGCGUUUCCGCAUCACACUAUCGAGGAAGAAAGGAGUUACUCGCAGUAUCCCCCAGCCCGAUCAGAAUCAGGCAGGCAUCGCAUCAUACGAUGAUCUUUGCGCUAACUUAUCGGUGUUUGAAACAGAAUCUCCGAAGCUGGCCAUAGCUUCGGCAACCACGACGGUUCCAAUCCAGCCUUCAUGCAAUACAAAUACUGCGGAAAAAGCAGCAGCAGAAGAGGAUAUAGGAUCGGUGGUAAAAACGUUUCACCGGGUGCCAUUAGAGGAAACAACCAAAACGCUGUUGCUUUCACUUGCCGUACCGGACACGGCUCCACCAGAAAUACCGAUAGAGACACCUUCAUUCAGCUCAAACUUUUCAACGGAAACUCCGAGGGUUUUACCACAGAGAACAGACGUCUAUCUUCAGCAUUCAACUUGUGUAAAAUCUCUAACGGUUUCGAAGGUAGUUUGGAUAUCUAAACCAGGUGCGCUACUGUCGUCAUGUUUUUUUGUGGCUGAGUGCGACAGAAUUGACAGCGGUUAUUCCUCUACCCAGUCAAACUAGUCCGGAACCUAUUCGGACUUCCAGCAUGAAUUCCAGAUCAAAUGCGUCAACCGAUAGAGUCGGAAUCGGUUGUUUUCUUUGAGCUAGAUUCCAUGCAGAAUCCAUCCAGGAUUUCGAACCGGUUCCGGAAUCGAUUUGACGGAUAGUUGGGAUAGGUUGGUGUGGCGGCGCUAGUGUUUUUAGUAUAUUAAUUCAAAUGUUUACACACGUUUUUUAAAUAUUUUUGUUCGAUCAUGGAUGUCUGUUCUCUGUGGUUUUACUAUCCUCUCCGGUAACGGCAAUUUUGUCAAUAACGUAGAGGUUACUCACAUUAUUCAAAUAUUACUUUUGUUAUAGCCUAGGCUGUGAUAACCGGGAAAGCAGUUCUGAUGCCAUAAAAAAACGCUGACAACUUAGAGCCACUACAAUCACCAAUUGAUUCUUCAGUAAUAUAUGGUAAAUCUAUAAAAGUACCAAAAAUAAAGAGCAUAUUUGAUAGUCCAAUUUUCUGUGAAACGGGCGAUACUGUUUACAACAAUAAAGUAUUUGCUUUCAAUAUGCUUUUCUAU